UACGGGGGGGGCAAGCGUUGUUCGGAAUUACUGGGCGUAAAGGGCUCGUAGGCGGCCAACUAAGUCAUACGUGAAAUCCCUCGGCUUAACCGGGGAACUGCGUCUGAUACUGGAUGGCUUGAGUUCGGGAGAGGGAUGCGGAAUUCCGGGUGUAGCGGUGAAAUGCGUAGAUAUCUGGAGGAACACCGGUGGCGAAGGCGGGACUCUGGGCCGAUACUGACGCUGAGGAGCGAAAGCGUGGGGAGCAAACAGG
rnacentral:rRNA from 1 species